ensembl:snRNA U6 U6 spliceosomal RNA
GUGCUUGCUUCAGCAGCACAUAUAUUAAAUUUGGAAAGAUACAGAGAAGAUUAGCAUAGCCCCUACACAAGAAUGACAUAAAUUCAUGAAUUGUUCUGUAUCUCU